rnacentral:rRNA from 1 species
UGCGUAGGCGGAUUGAUAAGUCAGUGGUGAAAACCUUCAGCUCAACUGGAGACUUGCCAUUGAUACUGUUAGUCUUGAGUACGGUCAAGGUAGGCGGAAUGUGUAAUGUAGCGGUGAAAUGCUUAGAUAUUACACAGAACACCGAUUGCGAAGGCAGCUUACUGGGCCAUUACUGACGCUGAGGCACGAAAGCGUGGGGAGCGAACAGGAUUAGAUACCCUGGUAGUCC